GGGUUUUGAUUAUGGGAGUGGUUCGGUUCAUAUCUCUUUCUUAGAGCUAGUACUGUCUCUUUCUAGGGCUUUGUGUUUUCCAACUCUUUUUAAGGUAUUGCUUGGUUCUAUGGAAAUAAAAAAGGUCUUUUGUCUUUAUGGUUAUAACUUUAUCAACAUGUCCACUUAGUCAUAAGGCUAGGAUUGACUUAGUAUCUAUAUUUUUAUGGCUAUGUAUUAUGUGAUUUUCAUAUUUGUUAACGUCUAGGAAAUCAAGUAAGAUUUUCUUGUGAAGUUGAGUUGUAGGAAGUGAAAGUGGGCAUGUAUGGGGAGGGUAUUUGCAAAGCUUU
rnacentral:misc_RNA from 1 species